CUCAGACUUCCUGUUUCUGGCACUUGCCUUCUUCUGUGAUGUUCAUAGUUCCCUGUCUGUGGUUUAGCAGGCACAGAGCUGGUUUGGGUCUCCCUCUCUCUCAUUCACUUGCACAUACAAGCGUGCUUCUUCUCUAUUCUUUCUCUCUCUCUCUCUCUCUCUCUCUCUCUCUCUCUCUCUCUCUCAGAAUGAUGGCUCUGGGUAGAGCUUUCGCUAUAGUUUUCUGCUUAAUUCAAGCUGUUUCUGGAGAAAGUGGAAAUGCCCAGGAUGGAGACCUAGAAGAUGCAGACGCGGACGAUCACUCCUUCUGGUGCCACAGCCAGUUGGAAGUGGAUGGAAGUCAACAUUUAUUGACUUGUGCUUUUAAUGACUCAGACAUCAACACAGCUAAUCUGGAAUUUCAAAUAUGUGGGGCUCUUUUACGAGUGAAAUGCCUAACUCUUAACAAGCUGCAAGAUAUAUAUUUUAUAAAGACAUCAGAAUUCUUACUGAUUGGUAGCAGCAAUAUAUGUGUGAAGCUUGGACAAAAGAAUUUAACUUGCAAAAAUAUGGCUAUAAACACAAUAGUUAAAGCCGAGGCUCCCUCUGACCUGAAAGUCGUUUAUCGCAAAGAAGCAAAUGAUUUUUUGGUGACAUUUAAUGCACCUCACUUGAAAAAGAAAUAUUUAAAAAAAGUAAAGCAUGAUGUGGCCUACCGCCCAGCAAGGGGUGAAAGCAACUGGACGCAUGUAUCUUUAUUCCACACAAGAACAACAAUCCCACAGAGAAAACUACGACCAAAAGCAAUGUAUGAAAUCAAAGUCCGAUCCAUUCCCCAUAACGAUUACUUCAAAGGCUUCUGGAGCGAGUGGAGUCCAAGUUCUACCUUCGAAACUCCAGAACCCAAGAAUCAAGGUUGGCAAAGACUGUCCAAGCCCUGUACCUUCCACAAGACUUCAUAUUCUGAAGUGUAGCAGAGAGAGGGGGAAGAAAUCAGUGUAAAUAACCCACAGGAGGAUGGGAUCCUGUCUUGCCAAGUGUCACCAUUCUGAGUUUGUUCUCUGUGUUUUUGUUGGUCAUCUUAGCCCAUGUGCUAUGGAAAAAAAGGAUUAAACCUGUCGUAUGGCCUAGUCUCCCCGAUCAUAAGAAAACUCUGGAACAACUAUGUAAGAAGCCAAAAACGAGUCUGAAUGUGAGUUUCAAUCCCGAAAGUUUCCUGGACUGCCAGAUUCAUGAGGUGAAAGGCGUUGAAGCCAGGGACGAGGUGGAAAGUUUUCUGCCCAAUGAUCUUCCUGCACAGCCAGAGGAGUUGGAGACACAGGGACACAGAGCCGCUGUACACAGUGCAAACCGCUCGCCUGAGACUUCAGUCAGCCCACCAGAAACAGUUAGAAGAGAGUCACCCUUAAGAUGCCUGGCUAGAAAUCUGAGUACCUGCAAUGCCCCUCCACUCCUUUCCUCUAGGUCCCCUGACUACAGAGAUGGUGACAGAAAUAGGCCUCCUGUGUAUCAAGACUUGCUGCCAAACUCUGGAAACACAAAUGUCCCUGUCCCUGUCCCUCAACCAUUGCCUUUCCAGUCGGGAAUCCUGAUACCAGUUUCUCAGAGACAGCCCAUCUCCACUUCCUCAGUACUGAAUCAAGAAGAAGCGUAUGUCACCAUGUCUAGUUUUUACCAAAACAAAUGAAUUAUAAGAAAACCCUUCCAUCGACAACCAAAUGAUCACUGAGAUGGAAAGUCUGGAAUGCUUGCUCUCCCCCGUAGCUCACAGAAGAGAAAGUCAACGUGACCUUGCUACACAUCUUCAGCAUUCUAAGAAAUCAUUUUGCUCUUCUAGCUCAGAAGCAUUUGCACAAAGCAGGAAGAAUCUGUUUUCCCUGUUGUUGGAUUAGUCAUAAGAGUCCAUAUGACCCAAUUAAAAUUGCAAAACUCAGUUAAGUGAAGAAAGAAAGAUAGACAAAAGAAGAUAGAAGGAUGUGGUGAAUGCAGGAAGAAGAAAAUGAAAGAUGUGAGUGGUGGGUCUAUCAUUCAAAUUGACUAUUUAUCCAGCACUAUACCACUCUUCUCAUUUCUUCCUCACAAUAAUAUUACAAUGUGGGCUUAUCCAUUAUAACUUUUAUUUUCUUUGUCAUAGAUGCUGAAGUUGAAAGUAGAGAUUUUAAGUGAUAUCCAAAUUUUUCUUUCAGCUACAGAUGAGGCACACAUUCCAACUUCAACCCUCUCUUGCCAUGAACCUGUCCUAUUGUUGAGUGUCAAACAUCACCACUAAGUGGAUGGUUAUGUAGUCCAUUAUCCAAACUGAGUCGUUUUGGAAAGAAAAAGUUAGACAUAAUUAACAGUAAGCAUAAACUGUAUAUGUCUAAGAGAGAUGUGGAUGGAUGGUCAUUUUACUUAAAGUGGCUAUAGGGAUGAACAUGAAGGACAAAGUACAUUUAUGGGUGUGGCAUACCAUGACCAUGUGUCAAAGGAAGUGGGAAAAAGAAAAAAAAAGCACCAAGAUCAUUUGAUUUUGUUUUGUUGU